rnacentral:rRNA from 1 species
GUACCUUUUGCAUCAUGAUUUAGCUAGAAAACCUCAAGCAAAGAGCACUUUAGUUUGACCCCCCGAAACUACGUGAGCUACUCCAAGACAGCCUAACAACUAGGGCAAACCCGUCUCUGUGGCAAAAGAGUGGGAAGAUCUUUGAGUAGAGGUGACAGACCUAUCGAACCUAGUUAUAGCUGGUUGCCUGAGAAAUGAAUAGAAGUUCAGCCUCUCGGAUUCUCCCCUCACCCCACCUCCCUCCCCCCGACAAUUAAAAGAAACCGAAAGAGUUAGUCAAAGGGGGUACAGCCCCUUUGACACAAGAUACAACUUUUCCAGGAGGGUAAAGAUCACAAUUCAACACCAAGGUAAAAUGUUUAGGUGGGCCUAAAAGCAGCCACCCCAUAGAAUGCGUUAAAGCUCAAACAUAACCACCACCCCCAAUCCUGAUAAUCUUAUCUUAACCCCCUAACCCUACCAGGCCGUUCCAUGCAAACAUGGAAGCGACCAUGCUAAUAUGAGUAAUAAGAGAAUAGUCAUCUCUCUCCUUGCACAAGUG